rnacentral:rRNA from 1 species
UACGAAGGGGGCUAGCGUUGCUCGGAAUGACUGGGCGUAAAGGGCGCGUAGGCAGUGCAUUUGGUCAGGCGUGAAAUUCCUGGGCUUAACCUGGGGACUGCGCUUGAGACGGGUGUGCUGGAGGGCAGGAGAGGCUCGCGGAAUUCCCAGUGUAGAGGUGAAAUUCGUAGAUAUUGGGAAGAACACCGGUGGCGAAGGCGGCGAGCUGGCCUGUACCUGACGCUGAGGCGCGACAGCGUGGGGAGCAAACAGG